GACUUAAAAUAAUCCCAAUAAUACCGCCCGGCCAUUCCACUUUUAAAAUUACUGUUCACUUUCAUCUGCUUUAAUUUUUAUGCUUUUAUUUUACGGUUUUUUGUUGAAAAACGUUGAGAUAUACGGAUCUAUGAUUUCUGCGAUGAAUCUGCCCAUGGAUGUUUACAAACUCCUCUAUAUCUGGGUUCUUUUCCAUUAUUGUUAUUUUGUUGAGUAACAGGUACAGAUUCGUUCGGUUCCGCCAUCGCCGCUGCUACGGAGGCGGCAUCUCUUCCUAUCGUCUGUUAAGCAUCCUAAUGAUUCCACCAUUAUUCUUCUCUUUCUUUACCCAUGAUAGUUUGGGUUCCUUUCUUGUUGUUUGAUAGCAAAUCGACGCGCCGAUUAAGAUUCUUGCCAAUGUUUAUGAGCAGGAGGUGUUCUCAUUUCCACUGAAUUUUUAAACUUUUGUUGAUUGUUGUUCUUUUUUUUUUUUUUUUGAUUUUAAUUUUUCAUUUUCAAAUUUUGAGGCAUCUGCUAGAGGAAACUGCUGCCUUGCGUGGUAGCCAUAGUGAAGCUUGUGCAUCUUCUUGAUACUGGAUACUCAUCACUGACAAUUGCUUUGGUUCUACCAGAAUCAGAUUAUUUAGUUUCCCGUGAAAAGAAUGGUAUGGCAGUAGACAUUUUGCAAGUAUCUAGAAAAUUUAUAUCUCUUGGUUCAUGAUGAUUAGGUCAUUCUUUCGGUAGCAACAUUAAGUACCAAAUCAAGAAGAAGAAAAAGAACAAGAGCAGGAGCAGCAUUAUGUUUUGGUGUUAGUAGAAGUAGUAACUGCCGGAAAGAGUAGAUCCUGCAAUUUGUAAAAUGUUCAUUACAAACUGACAUUUGUGUUAUGUGACUCAAUUCAAUACAAAUAAUGAAGACUUAUGUAAA